AUGAGCAUUUCAUAAUAGAGAUACUAUGUGCUCGAAACAAGGUAGAAAAUAGUUUAAUCUCUAGCGGAAUUUGAUCAAUAUGUUUUGAAACAGUUGAGAAUAAACAAGUUUUCAUGUUUUUUUCAACUUUGCAUUGAGGCCAAUCUCUAAAUAUCACACAGUUUUACCACUCUUGCAGUCUCAAUGCAGUAAGGAAGACAAGAUGAUCCACUUGAACGACUGUCGCUUCAAAAAGAUCAUCAAGAAAACUUUGGAAACCAAAGGAAUUUUCUGUCCUUUCAAAUGAGACAUUUGUGCUGACCACAUCUGACAGAAUAAUAGUGGAUGCUGAUAAAUUUGAAAAACUGAAAGAUGGCACCACCCUCUAUCUGCUGCAAAAAACGGACCAAGCCCUGCCAGCUUCAACUGAGGAAGAGAUAAACUUUGUUCCUCACUACAACACACUUAUUGAAAGUGGGGCA